UUAUUAUUAUUAUUAUUAUUAUUAUUAUUAUUAUUAUUAUUAUUAUUAUUAUUAUUAUUAUUAUUAUUAUUAUUAUUAUUAUUAUUAUUAUUAUUAUUAUUAUUAUUAUAUCUAGAAUGUUAUUGCUUUGUUUUGAAUUUACUUAAUGAAAUAAAUUGUUUGUUUUUUUAUCAUUAAUUAACGAAUGAGUGAAAAUUAAUGGCGAGAUAUUUUUUUUUUGAGUGAAUAAAUAAAUAAAUAAAUAAAUAAAUAAAUGAUUAAUUGAA